AUUGAACGCUGGCGGCAUGCCUUACACAUGCGAGUCGAACGGUAACAGGUUAAGCUGACGAGUGGCGAACGGGUGAGUAAUGUAUCGGAACGUGCCCAGUCGUGGGGGAUAACUGCUCGAAAGAGCAGCUAAUACCGCAUACGACCUGAGGGUGAAAGCGGGGGAUCGCAAGACCUCGCGCGAUUGGAGCGGCCGAUAUCAGAUUAGGUAGUUGGUGAGGUAAAGGCUCACCAAGCCGACGAUCUGUAGCUGGUCUGAGAGGACGACCAGCCACACUGGGACUGAGACACGGCCCAGACUCCUACGGGAGGCAGCAGUAGGGAAUUUUGGACAAUGGGCGCAAGCCUGAUCCAGCCAUGCCGCGUGCGGGAAGAAGGCCUUCGGGUUGUAAACCGCUUUUGUCAGGGAAGAAAAGGUUCUGGCUAAUACCUGGGACUCAUGACGGUACCUGAAGAAUAAGCACCGGCUAACUACGUG
rnacentral:rRNA from 1 species